GAUGAACGCUGGCGGCGUGCCUAAUACAUGCAAGUCGAGCGAACAGAUGAGAAGCUUGCUUCUCUGAUGUUAGCGGCGGACGGGUGAGUAACACGUGGGUAACCUACCUAUAAGACUGGGAUAACUCCGGGAAACCGGGGCUAAUACCGGAUAAUAUUUUGAACCGCAUGGUUCAAUAGUGAAAGACGGUUUCGGCUGUCACUUAUAGAUGGACCCGCGCCGUAUUAGCUAGUUGGUAAGGUAACGGCUUACCAAGGCGACGAUACGUAGCCGACCUGAGAGGGUGAUCGGCCACACUGGAACUGAGACACGGUCCAGGCUCCUACGGGAGGCAGCUGUGGGGAAUCUUCCGCAAUGGGCGAAAGCCUGACGGAGCAACGCCGCGUGAGUGAUGAAAGUCUUCGGAUCGUAAAACUCUGUUGUUAGGGAAGAACAAAUUUGUUAGUAACUGAACAAGUCUUGACGGUACCUAACCAGAAAGCCACGGCUAACUACGUGCCAGCCGCCGCGGUAA
rnacentral:rRNA from 1 species